ACCAGCCCCUGUGAGUGAUGAGGAUACUGAAGAAGCGACUGCUCAGACUACUGAAGUACACACUUCUAUUGAUCAAGAUGAGAGUGCGCCAACAGACCUAUCACUAGAAGAGGCAGAUGAACCCACCAUAGCUCCAGAACACCCACGAAGAAGACGGAUAUUACCAACACCACCACGAGAUCCACCAGUAUCAACAAGACCACAGAGGAACAGAAAACCACCGAAGUACCUCGAGGACUAUGUUGUAUCCAAGCAGGCUACGAUCCAACAGCCAGACUGGUUACUAAAGAUUCACUGGUUGGAGUCUGAAGCACAGAAAGGGAGAUUUAAAGGUUUGGAGAUGGAGUUGUCCAGAACCAUCCUUGACAUCAUGCGAUGCAAUUACUAGUGGUUAAUGGCUUGCCGAGGACGUCAAUUUUCAGUGAAGGGGGAAACAGACUGGAAUGACGUGGAAGUCAUUUUCCUACAGCGGGGAGAAUGUAGCAGAGUGAUUUUUAUGAUCAUUUUAUAUAAUGUAAAAAUCAUCUAUUUAUUAAAUUACUAUAUUUAUGAUAAAAGCUUAAUUACAUAUUUUGAAUAUUGUAUUUUUAGUGUAAAUUAUUACUUGAAAACCUUACUUAUAUGUAUAGUAAUAUUCACGUUAUUUUCUAUGAAUAUUCAGUAGGGAUUUACUUGAAUCAUUGUAUUUGAUUGGCUGUUAGUAUUUCGCGGUCAAGUUUAAUUUCCUUUGUUUUGUACCUGUAUAUUUCCACGGACGAUAGCCAUGACAGUCCAUUGAAUUUAUGUCUGAUUAUAUUGACCACAUAGUUACCUGUAAACCUUAUAUUUUGGACAACAUAUUAUUGAAUACUGUAAGUUUACUUCUUUAUUAACAUUAUUUAUAUUUUUCACGUAAAUGAUAUUAUAGCAAAGUUUCUAUUUGUCUUGUAACGUUCUCCUCAUAUCGCAUGCAUGUAACAUAAGUACACAAGAUGUACAUGAGAGUAUUUUAUUAAGCUAUAAGUAUAUGAUUUUAUAAUCUACGGUUUAUUUGCCACGGUAGAAUUAUAUUGUUAAUUUGCGUACACUACUAUUUGGUUAUUGUCACGAAUAGUCUAUAUUUUAUAAAUGGCGGCUUGUUAAACAAAAGACGUAAAAAAGUGUUUCCAUUUAUAUAAAGUAAUAGUUUUGUAUCGAAUAGUUUUUAUAAAGUACAAAUAUGAAUGAGUAAAGAAUAUUUGUCACAUUGUAUAUUUCUAUAAUUAGAGUCCGAGUAUUUAUGUUCGUAUUUUGGUUUCAGGACUCCAUGUAAUGUGUAAUUAUAUAGAACACAUGAUUGUGUGAUGUUUAUUUGAUGUGCCGUUAACCUUACUAGUUCAACUCACUCCAUAAGUGACUUGUUUUAUCUACUGGUACAAUAAAGCAUCAGAACCCUUA